AUCAACGGGAGAUGUCCAAGACCGAAUAACUAAGCGAAUUAGUUUGGACUUAUCAGCGAAAUUUCAGUGAUGCUGAAAGCUGUUUCCUGGCUCUGCUCUUUGAAACGGCGGGCAGGAUCGCUGGGUCAGAACCGAGCCUGAUUCGGGCCUUAAGGGACUAUCCUGUCGCCCCAGCGCUGUCAUUUCAGUCACUUCCUCCACUUCCUGUUGACGCCACUUGGCACAUCUGUACAAUAAACACAGCCUUUCCUGCUCCCCGCCAGCCAACCGUCCAGGAGGCAGGGAAACAGAUGGAGCAGCAUUCCAAGCAGAUCUCCAGACAGUCUGAAGAUUGGCAGCAGUCCUCCAGUAUCCCACAAUCCAGCAGGGCAGAGCAGGAGUCCUCAGCGCAGCAGGCCAGACCUCCGCCGGCCGCUUCACCACAGCAGCAGAGAGCAUCACACUCUAGACCACAGGCCAAACACUGAGCCACGGCCGAACACCAGGACAGCACCUCGCAGAACAGGCAGGACGAGAUGUCGAAACUUGUGGUGAAGAAGCAGGAGGUGAACAGGUCACAGCGCACCCAUUGACUACUGGAGAAGUGCCAUUGGGAAGACAGGGCUUCACUGAAAGGUUUGCCGGUGGCCUUUGGUUGUGUUGUGUGAACAGGACUGUCCUGCCCUCCGUCCUGCUGUUGGACAUCCAUGGCUUCUGUCUCCAUUUGAGACGCUUGACUCGAACUCUGAAAACACAUCCAGCAAGAGCUCAUAUGCAUGAAAUCAGCCUGGCUGUUUGUGGGGUAGAGGUCAUAAUGAAAACCUCUAACAUGGUGACUUUUAUCCUCUAAAACUCCAUGAGAAAGAAAAUCUGACUUAAAGUGCGCAAAACAUGCUCGUCUGCUGCUAGGAACUGGCCUGAAGUGGUUUGGGAAGUUGACUAAUAUGACUAACAUCCUGCUGAGUCAAACCAAAUUGACAAUAUCAUCAAAGCCCAGGAGUCAUAAUAAACAUUUUAGAUAGUUGUUUGCUGUUUUAAGGAUCUGCCCGUGUCUUA
rnacentral:lncRNA from 1 species